AGUGAACGCUGGCGGUAGGCCUAAUACAUGCAAGUCGAACGGCAGCACAGUGAGAGUUUGCCCUUACGGGUGGCGAGUCGGGGAGGUGUGAGGUAUACAGCGGAAUGUACUUUUUCGUGGGGGAUCAUGGAGGGAAUCACACGAUUAUACCGCAUACGACCCACGGGUGAGACGGGGGGAUCUUCGGCCCUCGCGCGUUUGAAUGAGCCGAUGUCGGAUUAGCUAGUUGGCGGGGUAAAGGCCCACCAAGGCGACGAUCGGUAGCUGGUCUGAGAGGAUGAUCAGCCACACUGGAACUGAGACACGGUCCAGACUCCUACGGGAGGCAGCAGUGGGGAAUAUUGGACAAUGGGCGCAAGCCUGAUCCAGCCAUGCCGCGUGGGUGAAGAAGGCCUUCGGGUUGUAAAGCCCUUUUGUUGGGAAAGAAAAGCAGCAGGUUAAUACCCCGCUGUUCUGACGGUACCCAAAGAAUAAGCACCGGCUAACUUCGUG
rnacentral:rRNA from 1 species